CAUUUUUGAAUCACCAUCUCAAGCAUAGAACAUAAAAAAUAAGUCAAACAGCGUCAGUUUGUUCCAUUUACCAAUUGUGGUGGGGAAUGAUCAUCUCUUAUCGGCGAUAAUAUUGUGUAAGAGAAAUAAAAAUGGGUGAAUCAUAUUAUCAUCAUAAGUAUCAUAUUAACGAGUAUCAUUUCACAGUUAUUUGUCGCAGAUGAAAUUUUAUCAAAACAAAAUGAAGUACACGAUAUUACUCCCGCUACUGUUCAUUUUGCAAAACAUUGAAAUAAAAGGAGCGGGCAACAAUACAAAAAUGAAAUUCAAGAUUGACAUUGUUGGACGACCUAAUUCACCCUACGACGACAAACUACCGAAUUACAACGUCAAAUUAACCAAACAAGGCACAGGAAAGGAUUACCCGGUAACAGUUUCACGCCAUCAUAUCAUCCCAUUCAACAGACUGGCAGCAUUUUAUAAUCACUUAGUGCUAAAUAAACAAACUAAAGAAUUGUCAAAAGUAUUCUGGGCACAAUUCAUCGAUAAAUUCACGAAAUUUUAUCAAACAAAAAAAGGAAAUCACGAUGCUACAAUUAAAAAUGUAAACAAAUUGGUUAAGGGAUUAUCCACAGGUAACAUAGAACACGAUCCUUAUGCCAAAACACCUGAAGGUUUCGAUGAUUUCCAAGCUUUUUAUGCUUGGUUGCCAGGAAACUUGUUCAUUGGGCCUAAUAAACGAAGUGACGAUCCUGGUGAAGGUUUUGAAAAGAAUGCCAAGACUAUUGUGGGAGCUAGGAGAUUUGAUAAUUUGAAAAAUGUUUAUGACUUGAUGCAGGCUUACAUUGACCGCCAAAAAAUUGAUUUUGAAAAGUUAUCCCGGGGAUUAUACGAUAUAACUAAUAUUUUGCAACCUCAAAUUUUGAAGAGCUCUGACUGGGUGCUCAAUACAGAUGGAAGUUAUAAAAUUAAAACCUCCGUGAAAAACGUGCCAAAAAGUAUGAUGAGUGUGGCGGUGCAAUGGCUUAAAAACGUGUCACAAAAUAUGUGGCGCGUGGCGAUGGAAUCGCUGAAAAUUCUACUAGGUUAAAACCAUAUUUGUGCGGCGCAUUUCACUUUUUUAUAUUGAAUUUAAAUUAAAAGUAUUUCAAGAAUUACAACUCGACGCGUUUAUUUUGUUUAAUUUGUUUUUAAUCGCUAAAUUUACAAAUAUUGUUAAAAUAUGGUUUUUAAAAAAAAUAAUACAUUGUAGAUACCUACAUAUUAUAAUUAUAUGUACCUGUGUAAUGAAGAUAUAGGUGAUAAUGAUAAAUGGUACCUACAGUGAAAAAAGGUCAUUAUAAGUAUACGCAUUAAAAAAAAACAUGAUAAAAAAUAUUUUAUAAAAAGUAUCACAAUCCCUAUCACAUUAUUGAAGUAGGUACAUAUUUAUUCAUUUAGCAGUGAUGUUACCAAAUAAGAUCCUUACAAAAAUGAUUAAGUAUGUAUCAAAAACAGCGAGGUAUUUUAAACGUCAAGAAAAAAACAUCCAUGUUUGUUUAAAA